rnacentral:rRNA from 1 species
UGUAUUUAUUAGAUAAAAAACCAAUGCCCUUCGGGGCUUUUUGGUGAUUCAUGAUAACUUUACGGAUCGCAUAGCCUUGCGCUGGCGACGGUUCAUUCAAAUUUCUGCCCUAUCAACUUUCGAUGGUAAGGUAUUGGCUUACCAUGGUUUCAACGGGUAACGGGGAAUUAGGGUUCGAUUCCGGAGAGGGAGCCUGAGAAACGGCUACCACAUCCAAGGAAGGCAGCAGGCGCGCAAAUUACCCAAUCCCGACACGGGGAGGUAGUGACAAUAAAUACUGAUACAGGGCUCUUUUGGGUCUUGUAAUUGGAAUGAGUACAAAUUUAAAACCUCUUAACGAGGAACGAUUGGAGGGCAAGUCUGGUGCCAGCAGCCGCGGUAAUUCCAGCUCCAAUAGCGUAUAUUAAA